GACGAACGCUGGCGGCGUGCUUAACACAUGCAAGUCGAACGGAAAGGCCCUGCUUUUGUGGGGUGCUCGAGUGGCGAACGGGUGAGUAACACGUGAGUAACCUGCCCUUGACUUUGGGAUAACUUCAGGAAACUGGGGCUAAUACCGGAUAGGAGCUCCUGCUGCAUUGUGGGGGUUGGAAAGUUUCGGCGGUUGGGGAUGGACUCGCGGCUUAUCAGCUUGUUGGUGGGGUAGUGGCUUACCAAGGCUUUGACGGGUAGCCGGCCUGAGAGGGUGACCGGCCACAUUGGGACUGAGAUACGGCCCAGACUCCUACGUGAGGCAGCAGUGGGGAAUAUUGCACAAUGGGCGGAAGCCUGAUGCAGCAACGCCGCGUUCGGGAUGACGUCCUUCGGGUUGUAAACCGCUUUCGCCUGUUACGAAGCGUGAGUGACGGUAAUGGGUAAAGAAGCACCGGCUAACUACGUG
rnacentral:rRNA from 1 species